GCUUUCUUAAGAGGAGAAGAACUGCAUCGACCUUAACUUUGUGCUGACGCUCCAGAAGUCAUAGUGACCGUGAAAGUGUGUCCUCAAAGGACUGGGAAAAAUGGACAGAAAGCAGCUACUCGUGUGGACUCGCCCCGGCUAGUGCUGCCUUUUGCCACAGCUAAAGGGAGACUUUGGAGCAAGACGUGUCAGUGGUCUGCGCAAGAGAAUCAUGAGAGAACUGGGGCAGCCGGGCAGGAGCAGCACGAAGCCCUG